GGUUCUCACCGUUUGUGUCCA
rnacentral:siRNA from 1 species